rnacentral:rRNA from 1 species
GAUGAACGCUGGCGGCGCGCCUAAUACAUGCCAGUCGAGCGAACAGACGAGGAGCUUGCUCCUCUGACGUUAGCGGCGGACGGGUGAGUAACACGUGGAUAACCUACCUAUAAGACUGGGAUAACUUCGGGAAACCGGAGCUAAUACCGGAUAAUAUAUUGAACCGCAUGGUUCAAUAGUGAAAGACGGUUUUGCUGUCACUUAUAGAUGGAUCCGCGCCGCAUUAGCUAGUUGGUAAGGUAACGGCUUACCAAGGCAACGAUGCGUAGCCGACCUGAGAGGGUGAUCGGCCACACUGGAACUGAGACACGGUCCAGACUCCUACGGGAGGCAGCAGUAGGGAAUCUUCCGCAAUGGGCGAAAGCUUGACGGAGCAACGCCGCGUGAGUGAUGAAGGUCUUCGGAUCGUAAAACUCUGUUAUUAGGGAAGAACAAAUGUGUAAGUAACUAUGCACGUCUUGACGGUACCUAAUCAGAAAGCCACGGCUAACUACGUG